CCAACCGGCAAGCCGGAUAAUCCGGGCCGAUUCGAUAAAACGGAACACGGUGCAAAUCCGUGGCGGGCCCGCCGCUGUAAUCGGGGACGGAUGUCGCGACAGACCACUGCCUAUGGGGAAACAGACCCGGCGGGAAGGUGCGGCAGACGGCUGAUCCGAGAGCCAGAAGACCUAUCGUUUCAGUUUGGGCUGG
rnacentral:ncRNA from 1 species